GACGAACGCUGGCGGCGUGCUUAACACAUGCAAGUCGAACGGAAAGGCCCUUCGGGGUACUCGAGUGGCGAACGGGUGAGUAACACGUGGGUGAUCUGCCCUGCACUUUGGGAUAAGCCUGGGAAACUGGGUCUAAUACCGAAUAGGACCACGGCCUUCAUGGGUUGUGGUGGAAAGCUUUUGCGGUGUGGGAUGGGCCCGCGGCCUAUCAGCUUGUUGGUGGGGUAAUGGCCUACCAAGGCGACGACGGGUAGCCGGCCUGAGAGGGUGACCGGCCACACUGGGACUGAGAUACGGCCCAGACUCCUACGGGAGGCAGCAGUGGGGAAUAUUGCACAAUGGGCGCAAGCCUGAUGCAGCGACGCCGCGUGAGGGAUGACGGCCUUCGGGUUGUAAACCUCUUUCACCAGGGACGAAGCGUAAGUGACGGUACCUGGAGAAUAAGCUCCGGCUAACUCCGUGCCAGCAGCCGCCGUAACAC
rnacentral:rRNA from 1 species